GCUUGUCGGUGAACUGCGAAUGGCUCAUUAUAUCAGUGAUCACUUAUUUGAUGAUGGCUGCCACGUGGAUACCUGUGGAAAAUCCAGAGCUAAUACAUGCCAACACGCCCGACUCGCGAGGGAAGGGCGGUAUUUAUUAGGUAAGAGCCAGCCCUGGCAACAGGAGCGAUGGUGAUUCAUGGUAACUGCACGAAUCGCACGGCCUUGCGCCGGCGAUGGAUCAUUCAGAUUUCUGCCCUAUCAACUGUUGAUGGUAGGAUCGGGGCCUACCAUGGUCGCAACGGGAAACCGGGGAAU
rnacentral:rRNA from 1 species